UGCAUCGGCCGGGAAUCGAACCCGCGUGGCAGGCGAGCAUUUUAUCACUGAACUACUGAUGC
rnacentral:tRNA from 1 species